rnacentral:lncRNA from 1 species
ACGGUGUACCCAGUUGCAUCCUGCGGUAAGGCACGGCGGGGCGGGAUUUCAUCGGGGAUGCCACCUCCAGCUGGCCGCGCAUGGAAAAAAAAUCGCCACCAAAAUAUGGGAACAUGAACCCCGAAGCUGCUGCCGACAAAACCGCCUAGGCAAUCAGUCAGAGAGGGCCCUAAAUGUGUGAAGUGAAUUGCAUGGAUACAUGGUGCACUUUGUGCGGCGCAAACCCCAAAGAAGCUGCCCAAGACUCCCCCCAGGAAAGCGUUCAAGACCGACGGGGGUAGCAUCAUCCGCUGUUAAAACAAAGUCCUUAAGGGGCAAUGUCCAUCGCGUACCAUGUAUGUUCCAGAGCAGCAGCACCAGCGCCUGCGUGCGGAGUCUCCACACUUUCAAAGCCACUACGGAGAGGCCCUUGGUUCGCUGAUGCUUUACUGUUGGCGAUCGCAAGUCUCCUACACUUUAAGAUACAGCUGGAGUAAUUGG